rnacentral:misc_RNA from 1 species
AAGGAGUCUAACAUGCCUGCGAGUGUUUGGGUGGUAAAACCCAGGCGCGUAAUGAAAGUGAAAAGUUGGGACUCUUUAGUGAGGCACCGACGCCCGAUCCUGACGUUCUCUGACGGAUUUGAGGCGGAGCAUGUAUGUUGGGACCCGAAAGAUGGUGAACUAUGCCUGAAUAGGGCGAAGCCAGAGGAAACUCUGGUGGAGGCUCGUAGCGAUUCUGACGUUCAAAUCGAUCGUCAAAUUUGGGUAUAGGGGCGAAAGACCAAUCGAACCAUCUAGUAGCUGGUUCCUGC